AAAAGAUGUAGAUAAACUGAAGGAAGGUGAAAUAGAGAAAACAAAGACGUAUAUUGCCCUGUGCUGGUCUAAAGAAUCUCUCUCCGAAGAACAACUUAACAAACUUCAGGAAGUCAAGGAUCUUGUCAUUUAUCAAAAGACUCCAAUUCGAGUGCUACACCGACGCCCUCUGGCGACAAGGGAGAGAAUCGUGUACAGUAUGUCAGCGGAAAAAAUAGAUGACCUUCAUUUCACCUUGAGUCUCUCAACACAGGCUGGCACCUACAUCAAAGAGUUUGUUCACGGAGAUUUCGGGAGAACCACACCAAACCUUGGAACCUUGACUGGAGUGGAGUGUGAUAUUCUGGAACUGAGUGU